GACGAACGCUGGCGGCGUGCUUAAUACAUGCAAGUCGAACGGACAGGCGCUGCUUUUGUUGGUUGCUCGAGUGGCGAGCGGGUGAGUAUCACGUGUGUAACCUCCCCUUGACUUUGGGAGAACUUCAGGAAACUGGGGCUAUUACCGGAUAGGAGCUCCUGCUGCAUGGUGGGGGUUGGAGAGUUUCGGCGGUUGUGGAUGGACUGGCGGCUUAUCAGCUUGUUUGUGUGGUAGUGGCUUACCAAGCCUUCGACGGGUAGCCGGCCUGAGAGGGGGACCGGCCACAUUGGGACUGAGAUACGGCCCAGACGCCAACGGGAGGCAGCAGGGGGGAAUAUUGCACAAUGGGGGGAAGCCAGAGGAAGAAACGCCGCGUGCGGGAUGACGGCCUUCGGGGUGUAAACCGCUUUCGCCUGUGACGAAGCGUGAGUGACGGUAAUGGGUAAAGAAGCACCGGCUAACUACGUG
rnacentral:rRNA from 1 species